GACGAACCGUGCAACCGUUGUUCGGAAUCACUGGGCUUAAAGGGCGCGUAGGCGGGUUUUCAAGUCUGUGGUGAAAGCCUCCAGCUUAACUGGAGAAGUGCCGUGGAUACUGAAGACCUCGAGGAGGGUAGGGGCAUCUGGAACGGUCGGUGGAGCGGUGAAAUGCGUUGAUAUCGACCGGAACUCCGGUGGCGAAGGCGAGGUGCUGGACCCUUUCUGACGCUGAGGCGCGAAAGCCAGGGGAGCAAACGGG
rnacentral:rRNA from 1 species